CUCAUCCACAACUCAAACUUCCCUCUUCAUCCUCAACUCAAAUUUCAUCUUCCCAUUCCCGCUUCUUUACAAUUACAUCCCCAAAAUUCUCCCCCACAAAUUCAUCUCCUUCCCAACCGCAUCAAUCCCCUCAAGCCUAAUCGAAGUCGUGGUCUGCCAUCACAACACCACCCCUUCUUGGUGGUUAUGGUGUUGGUCAACCUUUGUAUCGGUUAGAAAUAAAUGGAUCUGCAGGCUUAUAUAUUUGUUACCGGUGCUCACCGGAACCCUGGUCGCCAAUGUCGCAGGCGGCGGCUAGGUCUUCAAACACCACUAUCACCCGAACCCUAGGUCUUACGCAUGCCUUUGUUUACACCGGCCUUUGGUACUUCUUCAACGAUUUUAAUAGUUCAAAACAAAAAAAAAUCACCGCCAAUCACAGGAUUUGAUUUUUCCUCAUAUCAAUGCAUGUAGGUUGUUCAUGCUGUACAUAAUUACUAUAGAAGUCUGGCUUGGUUUGUUGCUAAUAUGGGCCCUGCUUCUGUCUGGGAAAUUGCUUCAAAGAAAAUAAAAAAGGUUUUGCCACAAGUUGUCACAUUUGGUCUUGGUUGGGGGAAGAGUAAAGGAAUACUUGGCUGCGGAUAUGGAUGGCAUUCGCGAAAAUUGGUCGACUUAUGCGGCUAUCUCAAUUUUUAAGUGAAAUCAUAUUUUAGGUGUCGAUGAAUGUAUUGACAAACAUUUUUUUUUGUUAACGAACAUAUUCGUAAUAUACUUGACAAAUGAUUAUGUAAUGGGUUGUUUUGGUA